rnacentral:rRNA from 1 species
GGUUCGAUUCUGGCUCAGGACGAACGCUGGCGGCACGCUUAACACAUGCAAGUCGAACGAGAGAAGAGAAGCUUGCUUUUCUGAUCUAGUGGCGGACGGGUGAGUAACACGUGAGCAAUCUGCCUUUCAGAGGGGGAUACCGAUUGGAAACGAUCGUUAAUACCGCAUAACAUAAUUGAACCGCAUGAUUUGAUUAUCAAAGAUUUAUCGCUGAAAGAUGAGCUCGCGUCUGAUUAGCUAGUUGGUAAGGUAACGGCUUACCAAGGCGACGAUCAGUAGCCGGACUGAGAGGUUGAUCGGCCACAUUGGGACUGAGACACGGCCCAGACUCCUACGGGAGGCAGCAGUGGGGAAUAUUGCACAAUGGAGGAAACUCUGAUGCAGCGAUGCCGCGUGAGGGAAGAAGGUUUUAGGAUUGUAAACCUCUGUCUUCAGGGACGAAAAAUGACGGUACCUGAGGAGGAAGCUCCGGCUAACUACGUGCCAGCAGCCGCGGUAAUACGUAGGGAGCGAGCGUUGUCCGGAAUUACUGGGUGUAAAGGGAGCGUAGGCGGGAUCGCAAGUCAGAUGUGAAAACUAUGGGCUUAACCCAUAAACUGCAUUUGAAACUGUGGUUCUUGAGUGAAGUAGAGGUAAGCGGAAUUCCUAGUGUAGCGGUGAAAUGCGUAGAUAUUAGGAGGAACAUCAGUGGCGAAGGCGGCUUACUGGGCUUUAACUGACGCUGAGGCUCGAAAGCGUGGGGGGCAAACAGGAUUAGAUACCCUGGUAGUCCACGCCGUAAACGAUGAUUACUAGGUGUGGGGGGACUGACCCCUUCCGUGCCGCAGCAAACGCAAUAAGUAAUCCACCUGGGGAGUACGACCGCAAGGUUGAAACUCAAAGGAAUUGACGGGGGCCCGCACAAGCAGUGGAGUAUGUGGAUUAAUUCGAAGCAACGCGAAGAACCUUACCAGGUCUUGACAUCGUAUGCAUAGCUCAGAGAUGAGUGAAAUCUCUUCGGAGACAUAUAGACAGGUGGUGCAUGGUUGUCGUCAGCUCGUGUCGUGAGAUGUUGGGUUAAGUCCCGCAACGAGCGCAACCCUUACUGUUAGUUGCUACGCAAGAGCACUCUAGCAGGACUGCCGUUGACAAAACGGAGGAAGGUGGGGAUGACGUCAAAUCAUCAUGCCCCUUAUGACCUGGGCCUCACACGUACUACAAUGGCUGUCAACAGAGGGAAGCAAAGCCGCGAGGUGGAGCAAACCCCUAAAAGCAGUCUUAGUUCGGAUUGUAGGCUGCAACCCGCCUACAUGAAGUCGGAAUUGCUAGUAAUCGCAGAUCAGCAUGCUGCGGUGAAUACGUUCCCGGGCCUUGUACACACCGCCCGUCACGCCAUGGGAGUCGGUAACACCCGAAGCCUGUAGUCUAACCGCAAGGAGGACGCAGUCGAAGGUGGGAUUGAUGACUGGGGUGAAGUCGUAACAAGGUACCC